GCGGGGAUUUUCAUAAGGACUUGCCGAGAUCAAGCUGCGUUGGGCGGGGUACAUUAGCGCUGAGUAUCCGGUGGUUGUCUGGAUCAGAACUCCGAAAGAGUCGGAGCAGAUUUUUUAAUAAACGCUAUCUUUAUAAACCGACCGCACAUUUGAUCUUUUUAUACAUACAUUCUCGCCUAAAUAGCUUUUGAAUAUACAUUUUGUGACACAAUAAGAGUAAUAUUUCAAACAUUAUGCAGGCGUUCUCUUCCAUUGGUGGCUGUUGUAAGUUCACACGAGUCAGCUGAUGACGUUUCACUUGGACAGACAACCACGCAUUGUUGUAUAUUUUUUUGCGUGUGUUAUUAUUAUUUUAUUAUUAUGAAAUUCGUGAACAUUAUUAUUGAGCCUUGGCAGUCUAUUUAGUAUUUGUUUUAUUGAGGAGAAAAAAAACAGACAAGAACGCAUAUUGUGUUGCGCCUGCGCUGUGACGUUCUAUUUUCAACCGCAUUUCCAGUCGAGAGGUCAAGAAUGCUCCUGUCUGCAUCAGGUAAGAAUUUAAAUAAAAAAUUACCGUUAUAAUAUGAUAUCUAUUUUUCAUUUAGUGUAAUAAACUUUAGCAUUAAUUGUGCAGGAGACUGUUCAUUUAAACUUUAUUGUGGUAACGUUAAAUGCUCGCUCGUUUUGCAAAGUUACGUUUGGAGAUUCAUGUUAACAGUCAUUGUUUAAUGAAAGGCACAUUGGACUACGGCUAUCCAUCUGAAAAAGAAAAGCUGGCACUCGCAAAGGAGAUUGUGUUGUUGGAUUAUGGUCUCAUUUGGUCAAAAUGAGGGACAUGUACUGAGCAUUUUUCUUUAUUUUUUCUUUUUUUUUUUGAUGGGCCAUCACACAGUGGAUUUAUAAAAAUGAGACUACAGAACAGCAGACGGAAGCUUCAAUGGAGUUGACGUGAGAGGACAUCAUCAAUAAAGAAUGCCAUUGACCAAACCUUCAGUCAUCAACGGAGAUGGAUACAGGUGGACAUCAAGUUUUCCAGACUUACCGAUAGGAAAGAAGACAUGUUUAUCAGGAAAUGGGAGGUGACAAUUAUUGAGAAACUCAGGGAAAUAGCAUCUUUAGAGAAGAAAAUGGACAUCAGACAUUCAUUGAAGAAAGCUGACAGUCAACAUAAUGAUCUUCUGCUGUGUGAAUUCUGUGUGAAGUCUCAGACCUGUGGGACUUGGUGGCGGCUGGUACCAGCGUGACCUCUUUGCUUACUAAAUGAUGAAAAGGUGUCUAAAAUCAGCUCAGCCACAGUUGGUUUCCAGCGGUUCUUCAGGACAUAGAGGCCACUAUGUAAUUGUCGCAAUGAAUGAUUCUCUUGCCUUUCCACUUGAUGUUUACAAUCGGACCUGUGCGGUAGAAAGACUUUUCAAAUUUACUAGCUAAGUAACCUUAAGUAUCCCUGCCAACUGUCUUCAGUUUUUUUUUUUGUAUGAAUAUGAUCUACCCUUGUCCCAGUCCUCUUGCAAACGAUCCAAGCCAAUGGAGUUUCAAAAUGGACCGAAAAUUGCAGUCUGUUUUAACCAAUGCAUGCACUGUGUGGCGGUUUCCCGGACAGGGAUUAGACUAGUCCUAGACUAAAACAUUUUUAAGAGCUGUCCAAACUGAAAACAACUUGCACUGACAUAUCUUAAAAUACAUCAGUGCCCUUUGUUUUGCCUCAAAAUGCACACAGGUAAUGUUUUUAGUAAGGCAUGUUUGUUAAAACCAGAUAUAUUUCCUAAUUAAUCUAAGGCCUAGUCCUGGAUUAAGAUAAUCCCUGUCCGGGAAACCGCCCCUAAAUAUUUUGUGAUGGAAAUUUCUUUGAAUACACUUGUCAAGUUCAUUUGAAGUAUUUUUCUUAAUGUAAAAUAACGUGUUAAUGUUUCAGGACAAGGUAAGAAUUUUUGAUAACUUGUAUGUUGAAAACGAUUUCAGACAUUGUUUCAACAUGUUUAACACAUGUGCUUUUAAAUUCAAUGAAUUAUUUUAUAAAUGGUGUUUUUUUAUGUAUGAAUGUAAUGUAUGUUUGAAGUGAUUAUACUUGCACUUAAAUUUAUUUAAAUUAGCAUACAUCUUGCAGCAUAAAGUACUAGCAUAUUUUCAUGCUAGCAUUAAUUGUCAAAUAUUUAUUAUUAUACAAAUAAAUGUUGUGAACAAUA